rnacentral:rRNA from 1 species
AUUGAACGCUGGCGGCAUGCCUUACACAUGCAAGUCGAACGGCAGCACGGGAGCAAUCCUGGUGGCGAGUGGCGAACGGGUGAGUAAAGUAUCGGAACGUGCCCAGUCGUGGGGGAUAACGUAGCGAAAGUUACGCUAAUACCGCAUACGAUCUAUGGAUGAAAGCGGGGGAUCGCAGGACCUCGCGCGAUUGGAGCGGCCGAUAUCAGAUUAGGUAGUUGGUGGGGUAAAGGCUCACCAAGCCGACGAUCUGUAGCUGGUCUGAGAGGACGAGCAGCCACACUGGGACUGAGACACGGCCCAGACUCCUACGGGAGGCAGCAGUGGGGAAUUUUGGACAAUGGGCGAAAGCCUGAUCCAGCCAUGCGGCGUGCAGGAUGAAGGCCUUCGGGUUGUAAACUGCUUUUGUACGGAACGAAAAGGUUUGGCCUAAUAAGCUGAGCUCAUGACGGUACCGUAAGAAUAAGCACCGGCUAACUACGUGCCAGCCGCCGCAGUAAGAC